CCUACGGGUGUGCAGCAGUGAGGAAUAUUGGUCAAUGGGCGCUAGCCUGAACCAGCCAAGUAGCGUGAAGGAUGACUGCCCUACGGGUUGUAAACUUCUUUUAUAAAGGAUUAAAGUGAGGCACGUGUGCCUUUUUGUAUUUACUUUAUGAUUAGGGUUCGGCUAACUCGGUGCCAGCAGCCGCGUUAAUACGGAGGAUACGAGCGUUAUCCGGAUUUAUUGGGUUUAAAGGGAGAGUAGAUGGGUUGUUAAGUCAGUUGUGAAAGUUUGCGGCUCAACCGUAAAAUUGCAAUUGAUACUGGCAGCAUUGAGGACAGUUGAGGUAGGCGGAAUUCGUGGUGUAGCGGUGAAAUGCUUAGAUAUCACGAAGAACUCCGAUUGCGAAGGCAGCUUACUAAACUGCCACUGACAUUGAUGCUCGAAAGUGUGGGUAUCAAACAGGAUUAGAUACCCGGGUAGUC
rnacentral:rRNA from 1 species